rnacentral:rRNA from 1 species
CCUACGGGGGGCUGCAGUGGGGAAUAUUGGACAAUGGGGGCAACCCUGAUCCAGCCAUGCCGCGUGUGUGAAGAAGGCCCUCGGGUUGUAAAGCACUUUCAGUGAGGAAGAACGCCUGGUGGUUAAUACCCAUCAGGAAAGACAUCACUCACAGAAGAAGCACCGGCUAACUCCGUGCCAGCAGCCGCGGUAAUACGGAGGGUGCGAGCGUUAAUCGGAAUUACUGGGCGUAAAGCGCGCGUAGGUGGCUUGAUAAGCCGGUUGUGAAAGCCCCGGGCUCGACCUGGGAACGGCAUCCGGAACUGUCAAGCUAGAGUGCAGGAGAGGAAGGUAGAAUUCCCGGUGUAGCGGUGAAAUGCGUAGAGAUCGGGAGGAAUACCAGUGGCGAAGGCGGCCUUCUGGACUGACACUGACACUGAGGUGCGAAAGCGUGGGUAGCAAACAGGAUUAGAUACCCCAGUAGUC